GUGCUAAAUGCUACACUGGGGGUUAUUUCUGUAACUAACAGAACAAACGAGAACUAAUCAGGAUGUUGCUGAAUUAAAAUACUUAGUACAGUAUAAACUUAUUAAUAGUGGCUAGCCUAAAAAUAUUAUCUGAAAGGAAAAUAUUCACGUCCGUUGCCCAGUAGUAUGGGCAGAAUGGGCCUAUCUUAGGAGUGAUAUUUUAUUCUGUAUAAUCUUACUAAUUAUUUCUACAUUCCUUAAACUGACUAUACUCCCAACUUUUCUUGGUAUCUUUGAGAGUUUUAUAAAGCUUUAGGACAUUUUCACACAUAAAUUAUAAUUACAAAGCACAAUUAUGGCUUUUCAAUAGCAGCAUUUCUAAGUGCUGCCCUAUAUGCUCGUGUGCCAUGGGCAUGCAGUGUCCACAGAGGUCAGAAAGCAUUGAAUCCCUUGGGCUUGGAGUUACAGACAGUUCUGAGUCAUCAUGUAUGUGCUAGGAACCAAAGCCAGGUCCUGAGAACACAGAGAUGCAGAGGUGUCUUAACCACUGAGCAGCCUCUCUACUCCUUUAAGUUGAUGUGCUAUGCUCCAUUCAUCUUUAUUGUUUUCUAAAGAGAAAAGUGAUAAUGCAAAUAAGGCAUUAUUGCAUGCCCGAAAAAUCCAUUAACUUCAAUUUUGCAAAUAACCUCUGCUGGGACACAGCAGCUCCUUGUUUGCUGGUGAAUGAUGUAUGCUGCAUUAACCUUAAGAAGACUGAGAAUUUCCUACACUUUGCUUUAUAGCCUUAUCUGAAGAACGCCAUGGACUUCAGGGUUGCCUCUAGGUUGUAGUGAUUAAAGGUGAACAUUCAUUUUGUAGUGAAACUUUAUAAGGAAGUCAAAUUAUAAAAUGAGAAUUAUUAAAUGUUUAUAUUAUAUUUAACUCAAAAUUUUAAGCAUGUAGAUAUAGGAGUUAAGAUUAUAGUUAUAUCAAGAUUAUAAACAAUCCUGAAGUAUAUAAAUUGUGACAUCUAAUACAGUAUACCAUGUAUAUAUAUAAAAUAUCUUUCAGUCUUCUAUACUUUCAGUGAGCCUGACUAUAAUAAAGACUGGAUGUUCAAAAGUAAAUUAAAAACACACAUACACACACACACACACACACACACACACACACGUAUAUUCAUGAAAAAAAAAAGUCAGUGUGUUUACAGCAAACACUUGCUGUAUGUAGGGUGCCAUAGAACCCUGGCUAAUAAUAUUUUAGCCCUAAGAAAUUAAGAGUACCACAGCAAUGUAGUAAUAGUAACUUCUUCUUAUAAAUAUGGAAAGUCUAAUUCUGAAAUAGAAGUACCUUUUCCACUCAAAUUUAACAUGACUUCAUGGAGUAUGGUGUAAUGUUUGUUUACAGUUUACCAAUACAACCCACCGUGCUGAGAGGUGUUCCUGAGCUCAGAAAGGUUAAAGUGAUCACCAAGAUAAUUGCCAAUUCUAAGAUUGCAGGAUCUUACAAAGACUUUAAAAGGAAUAUACCUUGUAUAUUAGAUAUUAGAAUAAAAAAAUUUCAUUGGAAAACCCUGUAGGUGAAUUAUCUGGUUAACUCUGAAGAUACCUGAUGGACAAAAUUAAGUCCAUCCUUUUGACACAGAGAUGGUCUUGGUGGGAGAUGGGAUCUUGAGAAGAGGCAGGGAAAGAAAUCUGAGGAAGAAACAAAUUUGCUUUACAUAAAGAAAAAAAAAGUUUAGAAACAGUUAUGUAAUGUUAACUUGUGAAAGUCAGCAAUAACUGAAUGUGAACGUCUGUUCUUGACUACACUAGUAGCAUAGCACCCCUCAAAUAAAUGUAUCAUUUUCCAUGUUUGUUGAAAAAAACACACGACUGUAUCUUUUGUUGCCUUGUGGUGGUUUAAAGUGAACAAAAGUAAAAGAAAGCAACAGCAACAGAAAUGUAAGCUUCAAAAAAUUAAAGGCCCACAGACCAGGGCCUAGAAAAGCUGUAGGAGAUAAGAAACUUAGAUUUAAAGAGCUCUUUCUCUUUCCUGUAUUCUCACUGUCUGGCUUCUCAGAGUUCCUGGGUCUUUUUUUAUUGAAUUACUUGACUGUUCAUUAGAAAACAGUUUAUUUUGUAAUGAACUGUUGUACUUUAAACUUUACUGUUCUAUUUUUGAGACAUGGUGACACGAUGUAGCCCUGGCUGGCCUGGAGCUUGACAUAUAGGUGAGGCUGAGUUUAGACUUGCAGAAGUUAUCCUGUCCAACUUUAACUUCAUAAAAGUUCUUACUUGUCUGUUGCUUCUGUUUCCUUUUCCUGAGAGUUCAGACACUGCAUUGUUAGAAUCACCUAUCUUCUCUCAGCAUUUUGCUCAGGUACCAGCCUGCCCAUGAAGCUAACCCAAUGUUUCUUCAGCUUCAAAGAAGUGUGCUUCAAAUGAUGGCCUUUCCCUAAUUCAGUAUGAGAACAUAUUAUAAGUACCAGAACUAUCCUCCUUGUAAAAUCUACCUGAUAUUUCUACCAUACUUUAUUAUUGUAUCAGUUACAUUCUUGCCGGAUAUCUUUGAUAAGAAAUAGGGUCACAGGCUGGGUGUGGUUGUACAUGCCUUUAAUCCCAGCAUUCAAGAGGUAGAGGCAGGCAGAUCUCUGUAAAUUUGAGGUUAGCCUGGUCUACAAGGAGAGUUCUAGGACAGCCAGGGCUACACAGAGAAAUACUCUUUCAAUAAAAGAUUAGAAAGAAAAAGAAAGAAAGAAAGAAAGAAAGAAAGAAAGAAAGAAAGAAAGAAAGAAAGAGAGAGGAAGAAAGAAAGAGAGAGGAAGAAAGAAAAGAG
rnacentral:lncRNA from 1 species